AUUGAACGCUGGCGGCAGGCCUAACACAUGCAAGUCGAACGAGUGGCGGACGGGUGAGUAAUGUCUGGGAAACUGCCUGAUGGAGGGGGAUAACUACUGGAAACGGUAGCUAAUACCGCAUACCAUCGGAUGUGCCCAGAUGGGAUUAGCUAGUAGGAGGGGUAACGGCUCACCUAGGCGACGAUCCCUAGCUGGUCUGAGAGGCUGACCAGCCACUCGGGAACUGAGACACGGUCCAGACGCCUACUGGAGGCAGCAGUGGGGAAUAUGGCACAAUGGGCGCAAGCCUGAUGCAGCCAGGCCGCGUGUAUGAAGAAGGCCUUCGGGUUGUAAAGUAAUUGCAGCGGGGAGGCGUUACCCGCAGAAGAAGCCCCGGCUAACUCCGUGCCAGCAGCAGCGGUAAUUC
rnacentral:rRNA from 1 species